GAUGAACGCUGGCGGCGUGCCUAAUACAUGCAAGUCGAGCGAAGGGGGGAUGGGUGAGUAACACGUGGAUAAACUCAUAUAAGAAUGGGAUAAAUUCAGGAAACCGGAGCUAAAACGGAUAAUUAUAUAUGGAUCCGCGCUGCAUUAGCUAGUUGGUCAGGUAAAGGCUUACAAAGGCAACGAUGCAUAGCCGACCUGAGAGGGUGAUCGGCCACACUGGAACUUAGACACGGUCCAGACUCCUACGGUAGGCAGACGUAGGGAAUCUUCCGCAAUGGGCGAAAGCCUGACGGCGCAACGCCGCGUGAGUGAUGAAGGGCUUCGGAUCGUAAAACUCUGUUAUUAGGGAAGCGGUACCUAAUCAGAAAGCCACGGCUAACUACGUGCCAGCAGCCGCGGUAAUAC
rnacentral:rRNA from 1 species